GCGUCGGUAGUGCAAUGGUUAGCAUACGCUCACGGAAAGAGUGAGAUCUGGGUUCGAAUCCGGGCUGACGCA